AACGAACGCUGGCGGCAGGCCUAACACAUGCAAGUCGAGCGAACCCUUCGGGGUUAGCGGCGGACGGGUUAGUAACGCGUGGGAAUAUACCCUUUGGUACGGAAUAGCCUCGGGAAACUGAGAGUAAUACCGUAUGUGCCCUUCGGGGGAAAGAUUUAUCGCCAAAGGAUUAGCCCGCGUUGGAUUAGAUAGUUGGUGGGGUAAUGGCCUACCAAGUCUACGAUCCAUAGCUGGUUUGAGAGGAUGAUCAGCAACACUGGGACUGAGACACGGCCCAGACUCCUACGGGAGGCAGCAGUGGGGAAUCUUAGACAAUGGGCGCAAGCCUGAUCUAGCCAUGCCGCGUGGACGAUGAAGGCCUUAGGGUUGUAAAGUCCUUUCAGAUGGGAAGAUAAUGACGGUACCAUCAGAAGAAGCCCCGGNUAACUCCGUGCCAGCAGCCGCGGUAAAGUCUGUACU
rnacentral:rRNA from 1 species